rnacentral:misc_RNA from 1 species
GAUGAAGAACGCAGCGAAAUGCGACAAGUAAUGUGAAUUGCAGAAUUCAGUGAAUCAUCGAAUCUUUGAACGCACAUUGCGCCCGCCAGUAUUCUGGCGAGCAUGCCUGUUCGAGCGUCAUUUCAACCAUCAAGCCCCAGGCUUGUGUUGGAGCCCUGCGGCUGCCGCAGCCUCCCAAAACCAGUGGCGGGCUCGCUAUCACACCGAGUGCAGUAGUUUACUCUUCGCUCAGGGCGUGUGGCGGGUGCUAGCCGUGAAACCCCCAACUUCUCAAGGUUGACCUCGGAUCAGGUAGGAAUACCCGCUGAACUUAAGCAUAUCAAUAAGCGGAGGA